ACGCUCGACACCUACGGGGAGGCAGCAGGUGGGGAAUAUUGCACAAUGGAGGAAACUCUGAUGCAGCGAUGCCGCGUGAGGGAAGAAGGUUUUCGGAUUGUAAACCUCUGUCUUUGGGGACGAUAAUGACGGUACCCAAGGAGGAAGCUCCGGCUAACUACGUGACAGCAGCCGCGGUAAUCUGAGCGGGCUGGCAAGGC
rnacentral:rRNA from 1 species